UGUCAGGACCAGUGCUGUGCUGCCUCAUAUCCUUCCCAAGCUUGUGUCCACAUUCCUCUUUCUGCCUCAAUGCACAUGCUUUGGGAGCUUUAGCAGAGGUUGCUGGACCUGCUUUACUCACUGCAAUGGGCUAUACUUAUAUUAUGGAGAUUGAAAGUCUCACCAAGAAAGCAGUUGUCACUGUAAAUGAUGAGGAAGGUAUAGAGUUUUUGCUGUCGGAGGUUCUUAAAGGAGUUGGAGAUAUUCAGGCAUGAUUUAU